rnacentral:rRNA from 1 species
GACGUAGGGUGCGAGCGUUGUCCGGAUUUAUUGGGCGUAAAGAGCUCGUAGGCGGCUCGUCGCGUCAGCUGUGAAAACCGGCAGCUUAACUGUGGGCUUGCAGCUGAUACGAGCGGGCUAGAGUUCGGUAGGGGAGACUGGAAUUCCUGGUGUAGCGGUGAAAUGCGCAGAUAUCAGGAGGAACACCGGUGGCGAAGGCGGGUCUCUGGGCAACAACUGACGCUGAGGAGCGAAAGCGUGGGGAGCGAACAGG